GUGUCAGCCGCCGCGGUAAUACGGAGGGAGCUAGCGUUGUUCGGAAUUACUGGGCGUAAAGCGUGCGCAGGCGGUUGUGUAAGUCAGAUGUGAAAUCCCCGGGCUCAACCUGGGAAUUGCAUUUGAGACUGCACGGCUAGAGUGUGUCAGAGGGGGGUAGAAUUCCACGUGUAGCAGUGAAAUGCGUAGAUAUGUGGAGGAAUACCGAUGGCGAAGGCAGCCCCCUGGGAUAACACUGACGCUCAUGCACGAAAGCGUGGGGAGCAAACAGGAUUAGAAACCCCAGUAGUCC
rnacentral:rRNA from 1 species